rnacentral:rRNA from 1 species
AUACGUAGGUGGCAAGCGUUGUCCGGAAUUAUUGGGCGUAAAGCGCGCGCAGGCGGUCCUUUAAGUCUGAUGUGAAAUCACGUGGCUCAACCACGUGCGGUCAUUGGAAACUGGAGGACUUGAGUGCAGAAGAGGAAAGUGGAAUUCCAAGUGUAGCGGUGAAAUGCGUAGAGAUUUGGAGGAACACCAGUGGCGAAGGCGACUUUCUGGUCUGUAACUGACGCUGAGGCGCGAAAGCGUGGGGAGCAAACAGGAUUAGAUACCCUGGUAGUCCACGCCGUAAACGAUGAGUGCUAAGUGUUAGGGGGUUUCCGCCCCUUAGUGCUGCAGCAAACGCAUUAAGCACUCCGCCUGGGGAGUACGGUCGCAAGACUGAA